rnacentral:rRNA from 1 species
UACAGAGGGUGCAAGCGUUAAUCGGAAUUACUGGGCGUAAAGCGCGCGUAGGCGGUUUGUUGCGUCGGCUGUGAAAUCCCGAGGCUCAACCUCGGGUCUGCAGUCGAUACGAGCAAACUAGAGUGUUGCAGGGGAGACUGGAAUUCCUGGUGUAGCGGUGAAAUGCGCAGAUAUCAGGAGGAACACCGGUGGCGAAGGCGGGUCUCUGGGCAACAACUGACGCUGAGGAGCGAAAGCGUGGGUAGCAAACAGG